CAUUAACUCCUUCAGGGAAAGUCAUAAAGAGGCAGUGGACUAAUGGAAGGGAGCCUUGGCGAGCGGAGCGCAGCUGUCCCGUCAUUAGCCCCCGUGUUGGUUUCCACAGUGUGUUUGUUUGUUGAUCGGCGUGUUUUUGCACCUGCGGCGCCGACGCAGAAGGUCGUGGGAAAAAGGCCCGGCCAGAGGAAGCGGCCACGCCGAGAAACUCUCGAGGGAACGGAGGCUCUUCACCUUCGAACCCGACCCUCGUCUGGUGGCUUCAGCAGGUGCAUAUUUGUCUUUUCUCCAAAUGUUGUUGUAAAAGGUCUUAAACACAAAACCUCUGAAUAAAUGAGCGAACCCGGCGAGCGACUCACGGGCCCGGCUGACCGGAGCCUACGUAGGAGUUUUGGCAACUAAAGUGUCGUAAAACUCAAAAACACAAACAAAACAUAAUGCGGGUUUAUUGGAAGUCGACGAGCCGGCGCCCCCUUCAGGCCGCGGCGCCGCAGGCCGCGCUGUCCCUCGAGAGCCUCCGCUUAGGAAACAGCGCAGUGUGCGUCUGUGCAUGUUUGUGCAACACAAGUAGAAGAUUAGGAAUUCCUAAUCUCCCUCGGUUUCGUGGCAAGACACAGUGUGUGCGUGUGUGUGUGUGUGAGUGUGUGUGCGUGUGUGUGUGUGUGUGUGUGUGUGUGCGUGUGUGUGUGCGUGUGUGUGUGCGUGUGUGCGCGCUCUCAGUGCAAUGAUAACAGCUACCACUAGAUAAGCUGGUCCCUCUGGUAAGUGUAGAUGGGCUGUGUUAAAAACACUGCUGUGGCUCUCCUCAGUGUGUGUGUGUGCGUUUGUGUGCGCGUGCGUGCGUGCUUGUGUGUGCAUGCAUGUGCGUGUGUGUGUACAGCAGCAAACAGUCGUCAAAACAGCAAGAGUUCAACAUCUGAAGCUCUGAUGAUGUCACAGAGAAGCAACACGACACACAAACACACAACAAUACGUGAUGGGAGAUGAAUGAGUAUGUUGCCCCCCCCCGUCCCCCCGUCCCGUCUUACUCUUUCUGCCCCCUCCCUCUCCGUCCUGUAAUCACUCCCCUCUGAAUCCUCUGUAUAUAAUUCAGCAGCAAUUCCGCUCGUCCGCUCCCUUUGCCUCCGCCUCCUCACGGGGGGACGCAAUGAGAUAUGACAUUUCAUUUGAGUUCCUCGCCACGCGCCGCCCUCGCUUUGAGAAAUAAAUAAAUAUUUCAUUAGCGGGCCGAGGGGGGGGGGGGACAGAAUGAGGAUGCACGCACACACACACACACACACACACACACACACACACACACACACACACACACACGAGGCAAAGGGGAAGGCAAUAUAAGUGUGUUUAUACAUUCAUGCACAUAUAUGGGCCUCAAACAGACACACACACACACACACACACACACACACACACACACACACACACACACACAGCAGCUCUCCCUUUGAAGGGGUGGUCCCUUGAUUAGGCCACUUAAACACAACCCCCCCCCCUAACAUCCCCCUCCCUUUGUCUGUCUGGCUCUGUGUGCGUCUGUCACACACAACUAUCCCUCGUCGAUGACUUCCUCUCCUUCCACUUUCGUUUUCUUCCACUUUUUAUUUCUUCAGACUUCUGUAUGUGUGUGUGUGUGUGUGUGUGUGUUUUGGGGAGGGGGCGGGGCUCUCCUCAGGUCUCAGCUGCCGUUGUGUGUGAGGGUGAAUUACACGCCGUAGUGAAGUGUUGACAGGAGCAGCUGGACAUCAGUGGGCCGUAGCGCCCGGCUUUCCACGUGUGUGUGUGUGUGUGUGUGUGUGUGUGUGUGUGUGCGCGUGUGCGUAGCUGCGGACCACAACCCAACACGGAGCUGACACCUUCUGGCCGACGGGGGCCAAAACAGCCUGCAAAGUCCGUCAAAUAGUCCACAAAAUAAAAGUCUCACAACUUUAUAGACUUCCUCCAAAAGGCACAAUCUAGUAUAAAUGAUGUUUAAAUAUCUGUGUGUUCUGAAUGAUUCUUAAAGAGAGAAUAAAAGGUUCCGUUCUCAUUUCGCGAGCACAAAACACUUGAAAUAUUUGGAAUUUCAGUGGGUGAUGAAAUGAAGGUAAUGACAUGCAAUGAAAUAAAAGGGGUCGCGAUAAAAGUGAGGUUUGAGAGAGAAGACACGAGGAGCUGAAAAGGAGACGAGGAGGCGAGAGGAGGGAAGGUGGUGG
ensembl:lncRNA